UUAACAAAAAAUAUUGACUGUCACGUGUCAUUAUGUAAUUGGUCGUUGACGAUCAUGUGUCUUUAAUUAGAUAAUGACACGUGACAAUCAACACUU
rfam:Glycine soja cultivar W05 scaffold4395_33, whole genome shotgun sequence.